AUUGAACGCUGGCGGCAGGCCUAACACAUGCAAGUCGAGCGGAUGAAGGGAGCUUGCUCCUGGAUUCAGCGGCGGACGGGUGAGUAAUGCCUAGGAAUCUGCCUGGUAGUGGGGGAUAACGGCCGGAAACGGGCGCUAAUACCGCAUACGUCCUGAGGGAGAAAGUGGGGGAUCUUCGGACCUCACGCUAUCAGAUGAGCCUAGGUCGGAUUAGCUAGUUGGUGGGGUAAAGGCCUACCAAGGCGACGAUCCGUAACUGGUCUGAGAGGAUGAGCAGUCACACUGGAACUGAGACACGGUCCAGACUCCUACGGGAGGCAGCAGUGGGGAAUAUUGGACAAUGGGCUAAAGCCUGAUCCAGCCAUGCCGCGUGUGUGAAGAAGGUCUUCUGAUUGUAAAGCACUUUAAGUUGGGAGGAAGGGCAGUAAGUUAAUACCUUGCUGUUUUGACGUUACCAACAGAAUAAGCACCGGCUAACUUCGUG
rnacentral:rRNA from 1 species